rnacentral:rRNA from 1 species
UACGGAGGAUGCAAGCGUUAUCCGGAAUUAUUGGGCGUAAAGAGCUCGUAGGCGGUUUGUCGCGUCUGCUGUGAAAACUCGGGGCUUAACUCCGGGCCUGCAGUGGGUACGGGCAGACUAGAGUGCGGUAGGGGAGACUGGAAUUCCUGGUGUAGCGGUGAAAUGCGCAGAUAUCAGGAGGAACACCGGUGGCGAAGGCGGGUCUCUGGGCCGUAACUGACGCUGAGGAGCGAAAGCGUGGGGAGCGAACAGG